AUAGGAAAGAGUUGUGUAUAUCCCAUUGGCAUACGUGGGCAAGGGGCGGGGUCUAUUUUCCGUGUCAUGGCUCCUCCCUGUAGACUUCAAGAAGUUCCAUAUCCGGAAGUGGGCCCCGUAGACUUUCGUUUGACUGUCGACACCUUUCUCGGUGUGUCAUAUUCACUCAUCAUUGACUGAUGACCCCUGAACAGAUUUCCGGCCCUUCUUCAUACAGCUUGUCUUCCACCUUCACAGUCAUGCUGUGUCAUAUUCACUCAUCAUUGACUGAUGACCCCUGAACAGAUUUCCGGCCCUUCUUCAUACACCUUGUCUUCCACCUUCACAG